rnacentral:rRNA from 1 species
AUCAACGCUGGCGGGCGUGCCUAAACACUGCAAGUCGAACGCGAAAGCCCUUUCGGGGGUAAGUAGAGUGGCGUCCGGGUGAGUAACACGUGACUAACCUACCUCCGAGUGGGGAAUAACUCCGGGAAACCGGAGCUAAUACCGCAUAACAUCGCAAGAUCAAAGCAGCAAUGCGCUUGGAGAGGGGUGUCGCGGCGGAUUAGCUAGUUGGUAGGGUUAACGUGCCUACCAAGGCGAAGAUCGGUAUCCGGCCUGAGAGGGCGCACGGACACACUGAACUGAAACACGGUCCAGACUCCUACGGGAGGCAGCAGUGGGGAAAUUUUGCGCAAUGGGGGAAACCCUGACGACAGCAACGCCGCGUGGAGGAUGAAGAUCCUUCGGGAUGUAAACUCCUUUCGAUCCCCCGGGGUACGAUCCCUGGAGUGACGGUACCGAGAGGAAGAAGCCCCGGCUAACUCCGGUGCCAGCAGCCGCGGUAAUACAGGGGGUGCGAGCGUUGUUCGGAAUUACUUGGGCGUAAAGGCGCGUAGGCGGCGCGACUAAGUCACCUGUGAAAUCUCCUCGGCUUAACCUGGGAAGCUGCAGGCUGAUAACUGGAUGGCUGGAGUGUGGGAGAGGGAUGCGUGGAAUUCCGGUGUAGCGGUGAAAAUGCGUAGAUAUACUGGAGGAACACCUGUGGCGAAAGGGCGCAUCCUGGACACACUGACGCUGAGGAGCGAAAGCCUAGGGAGCAAACAGGAUUAGAAUACCCCGGUAGUCCUGGCCCUAAACGAUGAAUGCUUGGUGUGUGCGGGUAUCGAAUUCCCUGCCGUGCCGAAGCUAACGCAUUAAGCAUUCCCGCCUGGGGAGUACGGUCGCAAGGCGAAACUCAAAGGAAUUGACGGGGGGCCCGCACAAGCGGUGGAGCAUGUGGUUCAAUUCGAACGCACGCGAAGAAACCUUACCAGGCCUUGACAGCGAGUGACCAUCUCCGAAAGGGGACUUCCGCAAGGACACUCGUAGAGGUGCUGCAUGGCUGUCGUCAGCUCGUGUCGUGAGAUGUUGGGUUAAGUCCCGCAACGAGCGCAACCCUUGGUUUGCUGUUGCCAUCACGUUAUGGUGGGCACUCUGCAAAGACUGCCGGUGAUAAACCGGAGGAAGGUGGGGAUGACGUCAAGUCAGCAUGGCCUUUAUGUCUGGGGCUACACACGUGCUACAAUGGCCGGUACAAACCGUCUCGCGAUACCGUAAGGUGGAGCUAAUCGGAGAAGCCGGUCUCAGUUCGGAUCGUAGGCUGCAACUCCGCCUGCUGGUGAAGUUGGAAUCGCUAGUAAUCGCGGAUCGCAGCCGCGGUGAAUACGUUUCCCGGGCCUGUACACACCGCCCGUCAUCAUCACGAAAGCCGGUUGUACUAGAAGUCGCCACACCAACCCGCAAGGGGAGGGGAGGCGCCUAAGGUUAUGGUCGGUGAUUGGGGUG